rnacentral:rRNA from 1 species
AUGGCCGGCGGUGGAGGGAAGGCCAAGCCGCUCGAGUACACGCCGACAUGGAUCGUGGCGUUGGUCUGCUCCGUCAUGAUCAUCAUCUCCCUGCUCUUCGAGCGCUUGCUCCACCGCCUAGGCAAGAGGCUGAUAAGGAGCCGUAAGAAGCCGCUGUACGAGGCCCUCCUGAAGGUGAAGGAGGAGCUGAUGCUGCUGGGGUUCAUCUCGCUGCUGCUCACCGUGUUCCAGGGUCCCAUGGGGAAGGUGUGCGUCAGCCCGAGCGCCAUGCUCCACCUGCAGCCCUGCAAGCCGCCGCCGCACGAGACGGACCACCUCGGCGACGCCGUGUUCACCGGCGUGCUGGGUGGGGCGAGGCGCCUCCUGGCUGGAGGAGCCUCCUCCUCCGACGAAUACUGCCUCAAGAAGGACAAAGUUCCAUUACUUUCAUCUGACGCUAUUCAUCAAUUGCACAUAUUUAUCUUUGUGUUGGCGGUCACCCAUUUCCUUCUCAGUGCUAUUACAGUUCUUCUAGGAAUGGCACAGACGAGAAAUUGGCGACAUUGGGAGACCAAGAUCCAAGAAAAUAAUGGCAGUGCACCUCAAAUGAUCAAGCAUGUUCAAGAAUUCAAAUUUAUUCAAGACCACUUCAAAGGUCAUAGAAAACGGUCGAGGAUAUUUGGUUGGAUGCGUUCCUUCUUCAAACAAUUGUAUGGAUCGGUCACCGAGGAGGACUACACAACAAUGAGACUUGGUUUCAUCAUGAAACACUGUAAGGGAACACCAAAAUUCAACUUUUAUAGUUACAUGAUCAGGGCUUUGGAGGUUGACUUUAAGAAAGUCGUUGGUAUUAGUUGGUACCUUUGGGCCAUGUUGAUGAUAUUCCUACUAUUGAAUGUUGAAGGGUGGUAUGUCUACAUUUGGAUCACCUUGGUUCCAUUCAUUAUGUUACUUAUGGUAGGAAGUAAGAUGGAGCACAUCAUAACGGAAUUGGCUUAUGAGGUUGCCCAGAAGCACACGGCUAUUCGAGGGGAUUUAGUAGUUUCUCCUUCAGAUAACUUCUUUUGGUUCCACCGGCCUAAAUUAGUUCUUCUGUUGAUCCACAUCGUGCUAUUUCAGAAUGCAUUUGAAAUUGCAUUUUUCUUCUGGCUCUUGGUGACAUAUGGUUUUAAAUCAUGCAUCAUGGGGAAACCAGCAUAUGUUAUUACUCGAGUUGUCAUAAGUGUAAUCUGCCAAGUCCUUUGUGGUUACAGCACCCUACCACUAUACGCCGUCGUCUCCCAUAUGGGGAAUUCCUUCAAGAAGACUAUAUUUGAUGAAAAUGUGACUGAAGGCCUUGUCAACUGGGCUGAAAAGGCUAGGAGAGGCACAAGAACCCCAAAUAAAAUUACUACAGAUGCAAGUAGUUCACCAAUUGAUGAGGCAAAUGGUGGCGCGGUUCAAAUGACAAAUACACGGGCAAACUCGUCGGUGGAGCAAGGCACCGCUAGGUUGAUAUAA